rnacentral:rRNA from 1 species
UACGUAGGGAGCAAGCGUUGUCCGGAAUCAUUGGGCGUAAAGCGCGCGUAGGUGGCCCCGUAAGUCCGCUGUGAAAGUCAAAGGCUCAACCUUUGAAAGCCGGUGGAUACUGUGGGACUAGAGUACGGAAGAGGCGAGUGGAAUUCCUGGUGUAGCGGUGGAAUGCGCAGAUAUCAGGAGGAACACCAAUAGCGAAGGCAGCUCGCUGGGACGUUACUGACACUGAGGAACGAAAGCUAGGGGAGCAAACAGG